rnacentral:rRNA from 1 species
ACAUUGUCGGGACAAUACCCUCGGGAACUGAGGCUAAUAGUGUAUACCAUACCACCACUGGAAUGAGUGGUAUGCUAAACGCUCCGGCGCCGAAGGAUGUGGCUGCGGCCGAUUAGGUAGACGGUGGGGUAACGGCCCACCGUGCCAAUAAUCGGUACGGGUCAUGAGAGUGAGAACCCGGAGACGGAAUCUGAGACAAGAUUCCGGGCCCUACGGGGCGCAGCAGGCGCGAAACCUUUACACUGCACGACAGUGCGAUAGGGGGAUCCCAAGUGCACAGGCAUAGCGCCUGUGCUUUUCGGCACCCUAAGGCGGUGCCAGAAUAAGGGCUGGGCAAGACCGGUGCCAGCCGCCGCGGUAAUACCGGCAGCCCAAGUGAUGGCCGAUCUUAUUGGGCCUAAUGUUCCUUACCUGGCCGCCUAAGUCCAUCCGGAUUU